GGCGAACGGGUGAGUAACMCGUGAGCAACCUGCCCCAAGCUUUGGGAUAACCCUCGGAAACGGGGGCUAAUACCGAAUAGGACUGCUGGCCGCAUGGCUGGUGGUGGAAAGUUUUUCGGCUUGGGAUGGGCUCGCGGCCUAUCAGCUUGUUGGUGGGGUGAUGGCCUACCAAGGCGACGACGGGUAGCCGGCCUGAGAGGGCRAMCGGCCACACUGGGACUGAGACAYNNNNNAGACUCCUACGGGAGGCAGCAGUGGGGAAUAUUGCACAAUGGGCGGAAGCCUGAUGCAGCGACGCCGCGUGAGGGAUGACGGCCUUCGGGUUGUAAACCUCUUUCAGCAGGGACGAAGCGAGAGUGACGGUACCUGCAGAAGAAGCACCGGCCAACUACGUGCCAGCAGCCGCGGUAAGACGUAGGGUGCGAGCGUUGUCCGGAUUUAUUGGGCGUAAAGAGCUCGUAGGCGGCUUGUCGCGUCGACCGUGAAAACUUGGGGCUCAACCCCAAGCCUGCGGUCGAUACGGGCAGGCUAGAGUUCGGUAGGGGAGACUGGAAUUCCUGGUGUAGCGGUGAAAUGCGCAGAUAUCAGGAGGAACACCGGUGGCGAANGCGGGNCUCUGGGCCGAUACUGACGCUGAGGAGCGAAAGCGUGGGGAGCGAACAGGAUUAGAUACCCUGGUAGUCCACGCUGUAAACGUUGGGCGCUA
rnacentral:rRNA from 1 species